CACUCAUUCUGAGAGAGCCACCCUUGUGAUGAGAUUGUACACGACUUAGAUUUUCUUCUUUUUAUUUUUGUGUCUUCUAAGUUUUAUUUUAUUUUAUUUUAUUUUGCAGGAAAGGAUGCACCCUGAGCUUACAUCUGUUGCCAAUCUUCCUCUUCCUUUUUUCCUCCGCAAAGCCCCAGUGCGUGGUUGUAUAUCCUAGUUUGAUAUAAUCUCCAGUUGCCAUACAUGGAGCUGGAUCCCAAAGAAAGAAGAAAACAGUUCUACAAGUAAGUAGAUUUCUUGUUAGUUAAGAUAGUCAUUUUCUAUAUAUAGAUGCUUGUUUCUUGCUUUUGCUACCAUGUUUAGCCUCUGGGACUCUUCUUGGUUGUAUCUAGUUUGUUGUUUUUGGCUCAUUUUGACAUUCUCUGUGUAUUGUAUUUUUAAUAUCAAAUCAUAGAUUUAGCAACAAGCCUGGAAACAGAUUAAGUUUCUUGUCCCAGAGAUGCUGCUCAAAAUGAAGAUGCAGCCCGGGGUGUAAGGCAGAUCUCAGCUUCGGUGUCUUUGGGGAGUCUGGCUGCUAGUGAGGUGUGAACUUUCAUUGAUCUUUGGGAAUUGUUAAUGUCAUACCUAGUUAGAGCGUUUAUGGGCCAACCCUAGUUAAGUUGCCGACCACAAAACCACAGAGAGUAAGUCCUAGACUUGUGAUUACAAAAGGAAAACGUGAAUGUUUCUGAAGACUGUAGCUAACUAGCAUCUGCCUCAAACCAACAAUAAAUCUUUAACCAUCUGUAUGACAACUCAGUCUAUUUUGUGGGAAGAAGAGGUAUGUAUACUUCAGAAGGUGUGCUUGCAUCUUCCUUUUUUGAGUUUAAAGGAUAAGUUACUUUAAUUGAUGUAUCGUCCAGCCAGUUUAGAGCAAGUGAAUAACUUUCAAAGUAGAAAGCAGUUUCAGCUACGGAGAAUAGACGAUAAUGUCAGUGGAAGUUUUUCCCCCUUAAAGUGGUUGAAAGCGUAUCAUAGCAGAUGUUUUCUGUGUUUGGAUUGUUUUCCCAUGAAACCCAUCAAUGAUGUUUGCACAUGAUGGUUUAGUUCCCUAGGUCAGGAGAUCAUGAGCAAACUUAUCUGAUCCCAUAUAUUGGAGGUUAGAAAUCUUCUUUGUUGACUUUGCACAGUGGCAACUAUUUCGAAAGAAAUAAUCUUUGUCUUAGUAGGAUAAAUUGAAGUUGUAAUCAGGUCAGCA
rnacentral:lncRNA from 1 species